rnacentral:rRNA from 1 species
GACGAACGCUGGCGGCGUGCUUAACACAUGCAAGUCGAACGGAAAGGCCCUGCUUUUGUGGGGUGCUCGAGUGGCGAACGGGUGAGUAACACGUGAGUAACCUGCCCUUGACUUUGGGAUAACUUCAGGAAACUGGGGCUAAUACCGGAUAGGAGCUCCUGCUGCGUGGUGGGGGUUGGAAAGUUUCGGCUGUGGGGGAUGGACUCGCGGCUUAUCAGCUUGUUGGUGGGGUAGUGGCUUACCAAGGCUUUGACGGGUAGCCGGCCUGAGAGGGGGACCGGCCACAUUGGGACUGAGAUACGGCCCAGACUCCUACGGGAGGCAGCAGUGGGGAAUAUUGCACAAUGGGCGGAAGCCUGAUGCAGCAACGCCGCGUGCGGGAUGACGGCCUUCGGGUUGUAAACCGCUUUCGCCUGUGACGACGCGUGAGUGACGGUAAUGGGUAAAGAAGCACCGGCUAACUACGUG